rnacentral:misc_RNA from 1 species
GCAAACUUGGUCAUUUAGAGGAAGUAAAAGUCGUAACAAGGUUUCCGUAGGUGAACCUGCGGAAGGAUCAUUAAUGAGUAACCAAUGGGUUGUGCUGGCCCCCCCCUGGGCAUGUGCACACUCUACUCAUCCACUACACACCUGUGCACUUUGGGAGGACUGCUCUCUUCACAGAGGCAGGCCUUCUUUAUAUACACACACUUGUCGGUACAUGGCAUGUCUAUGAUGAUAUAUAAAUAAAACUUUCAACAACGGAUCUCUUGGCUCUCGCAUCGAUGAAGAACGCAGC